rnacentral:rRNA from 1 species
AUGGACCUGAGGUUUUUGUCAUAUCAUUAUGCGCCUUUGAAGGUCAUUGGACUAGCGAGCAUGAGCUCUUUUACCAAAACAGGUUAUGAUCUGGCAAGGUUGAGUCAUGAGAACAUAGCAAAGUUUCUGGGCUAUUGCAGAGAGAGUGACCCAUUCUCGAGGAUGUUACUCUUUGAGUACGCAUCAAAUGGGACCCUGUACGAGCACCUACACCAUGGAGAAGCGGCCCAAUUCUCUUGGCUCAGACGAAUGAAAAUAGCCAUCAGCAUCGCCCAAGGUUUAAGGUAUCUGCACACCGAGUCGCAGCCGCCUUUCGCUAUAUCAGAGCUGAACUCCAAUUCAGUAUACGUUAUAGAAGAUUCUACCCCCAAGGGCUGA